rnacentral:rRNA from 1 species
UACAGAGGUCCCAAGCGUUGUUCGGAUUCACUGGGCGUAAAGGGUGCGUAGGUGGCCGGUUAAGUCUGACGUGAAAUCUCCGAGCCUAACUCGGAAACUGCAUCGGAAACUAUCCGGCUCGAGGGUUGGAGGGGGGACUGGAAUACUUGGUGUAGCAGUGAAAUGCGUAGAUAUCAAGUGGAACACCAGUGGCGAAGGCGGCUUCCUGGACCAAUACUGACGAUCAGGUGCGAAAGCGUGGGGAACAAACAGG